CACGUAGGAGGCGAGCGUUGUCCGGAAUCAUUGGGCGUAAAGAGCGCGCAGGCGGCUUGGCAAGUCGGGUGUGAAAUCCCGGGGCUCAACCCCGUGACUGCAUUCGAUACUGUCAGGCUAGAGGUAGGUAGGGGAGAUCGGAAUUCCUGGUGUAGCGGUGAAAUGCGCAGAUAUCAGGAGGAACACCGAUGGCGAAGGCAGGUCUCUGGGCCACUACUGACGCUGAGAAGCGAAAGCAUGGGGAGCGAACAGG
rnacentral:rRNA from 1 species